GAUGAACGCUGGCGGCGUGCCUAAUACAUGCAAGUCGAGCGAACGGACGAGAAGCUUGCUUCUCUGAUGUUAGCGGCGGACGGGUGAGUAACACGUGGAUAACCUACCUAUAAGACUGGGAUAACUUCGGGAAACCGGAGCUAAUACCGGAUAAUAUUUUGAACCGCAUGGUUCAAAAGUGAAAGACGGUCUUGCUGUCACUUAUAGAUGCAUCCGCGCUGCAUUAGCUAGUUGGUAAGGUAACGGCUUACCAAGGCAACGAUGCAUAGCCGACCUGAGAGGGUGAUCGGCCACACUGGAACUGAGACACGGUCCAGACUCCUACGGGAGGCAGCAGUAGGGAAUCUUCCGCAACGGGCGAAAGCCUGACGGAGCAACGCCGCGUGAGUGAUGAAGGUCUUCGGAUCGUAAAACUCUGUUAUUAGGGAAGAACAUAUGUGUAAGUAACUGUGCACAUCUUGACGGUACCUAAUCAGAAAGCCACGGCUAACUACGUG
rnacentral:rRNA from 1 species